AACGCAACUGGCGCCGGUUUACCGGCAUGCCUGUUUCAGUGUGCUAGGAGAGUAAACUAUCCUUAUAAAAUAUAAUUUGAUUGAGAAACAUUUAUGUUCUUCUUUCGUUAAAUAUGAAGGUGUGAAAGAUGCGUAAUCUCUCACACUGGCAAACGAAGUAGUCAUUCUUAUUCGUGAUCUCGUUUAACCAUUGAUAAAGGUUUUUGCUUAGCUAUAAAUCACAUCUAAGCAAUUAAAUAUAUCCAAAUUUGGCAUCUGAAAUCAGACAAGGAUACCCGCUGAACUUAA
rnacentral:misc_RNA from 1 species